rnacentral:rRNA from 1 species
GACGAACGCUGGCGGCGUGCUUAACACAUGCAAGUCGAACGAGUGGCGAACGGGUGAGUAACACGUGGGUGAUCUGCCUUGCACUUCGGGAUAAGCUUGGGAAACUGGGUCUAAUACCGGAUAGUGCAAGAUGAGCUCGCGGCCUAUCAGCUUGUUGGUGGGGUAAUGGCUACCAAGGCGCUACGGGUAACCGGCCUGAGAGGGUGUACGGCCACACUGGGACUGAGACACGGCCCAGACUCCUUCGGGAGGCAGCAGUGGGGAAAUUUGCACAAUUGGGGAAAGCCUGAUGCAGCGACGCCGCGUGAUUUAGAAGGCCUUCGGGUUGUAAAAAUCUUUUCUAUGGGAAGCAGUACCAUAGGAAUAAGGACCGGCUAAUUACGUGCCAGCAGCCGCGGUAAUUC